rnacentral:lncRNA from 1 species
AAGCAACCAUUCUAUCAUUUAUUCCCUUCUCUCUCGUUUUACUUUCACACGUUAUCAGCAGGCUCGUAACCGAGAGCGACAUGCCGCACACAAGAAAGAGCCUCCACGGCAUUACCAACCAUCUCCGACAGCCAUGUCUUCCGGCAGCAAAGGCCACAUCUCCUUGUGGAACGACUCUGUCAUACAGAUGAGACGCAAAGCAGGACGGCGGUGACUCCCAGCGCGUGCGCGGCUCCGACCGAGCACUGCUUCGCCCUCCCGCGCUUUCGU